rnacentral:rRNA from 1 species
AAAUGCUUGUAUCUGUAACAUUGAGCUGUGAUGGGGAGCGAAGUUUAGUAGCGAAGUUAGUGAGGUCACACUGCCGAGAAAAGCUUCUAGCGAUGUAUCAUACUCUACCCGUACCGCAAACCGACACAGGUAGUCGAGGCGAGUAGCCUCAGGUGAGCGAGAGAACUCUCGUUAAGGAACUCGGCAAAAUGACCCCGUAACUUCGGGAGAAGGGGUGCUCAGUUUAACUGAGCCGCAGUGAAUAGGCCCAAGCAACUGUUUAUCAAAAACACAGCUCUCUGCUAAAUCGUAAGAUGAUGUAUAGGGGGUGACGCCUGCCCGGUGCUGGAAGGUU